rnacentral:rRNA from 1 species
GACGAACGCUGGCGGCGUGCUUAACACAUGCAAGUCGAACGGAAAGGCCCUGCUUUUGUGGGGUGCUCGAGUGGCGAACGGGGGAGUAACACGUGAGUAACCUGCCCUUGACUUUGGGAUAACUUCAGGAAACUGGGGCUAAUACCGGAGAGGAGCUCCUGCUGCAUGGUGGGGGUUGGAAAGUUUCGGCGGUUGGGGAUGGACUCGCGGCUUAUCAGCUUGUUGGUGGGGUAGUGGCUUACCAAGGCUUUGACGGGUAGCCGGCCUGAGAGGGUGACCGGCCACAUUGGGACUGAGAUACGGCCCAGACUCCCACGGGCGGCAGCAGUGGGGAAUAUUGCACAAUGGGCGGAAGCCUGAUGCAGCAACGCCGCGUGCGGGAUGACGGCCUUCGGGUUGUAAGCCGCUUUCGCCUGUGACGAAGCGUGAGUGACGGUAAUGGGUAAAGAAGCCCCGGCUAACUACGUG